UAGGAAGAGAAAAGAGCAAAGCUUGCAGAGGCUGCAGAGAGAAGACAAAAAGAGGCUGCAUCUCGGGGAAUUUUAGAUGUUCAAUCUGUGCAAGAAAAGAGAAAGAAAAAGGAAAAAAUAGAAAAACAAAUUGCUACAUCCGGGCCCCCACCAGAAGGUGGACUUAGGGAAAAUGGACAUGAACUUUGAAUUUUCCCUUUCUCCAAAUGUUUGACUUUUUAUUUUCACUGAUAAGCAUUAUGCUAUGUUCUUAGAAGACAAAAGCAGCUCUUGCCAGUUUUGAAUAAUUUCUGCAUGAAUAGACCAGUAAGAGAAAACCUUUCCAACCUAUGAGAGAAAGAGAUGUGAAGAAAGAAGACGGGUCAUAGAGAUGCUACAUUGCUGAUUUUGAAGAUGGAGGAAGGAAAUCAUGGAGCUUAGGAAUGCAGGUGGCCUCUAGAAGAUGGAAAAGGAAAGGAAAUGGAUGCUCCCCUAGACUCUUCAGGAAGGAAAACAGCCUUGGUGACACUCUGAUUUUAGCCUAUUGAAACCAUGUUGAAUGACUGCAGAAAUGUGAGAUAAUAAACAUGCUUAUUCAGCUA
rnacentral:lncRNA from 1 species